AUCCCCGCAGGGAGAAGAUGGUGCUGGUUGGGAAGUCCCUGAGAGCGAGUCUCCCUGUCUGGCCCCAGUACAGGGGCCUUGGAAUCACACCUGGGCUCAGAGUCACUUGGAACUCUUCUGUGGCAUCUGAAGCAGAUGGACGAAGCCAAGAGGGCCGAGAGUAUCUCAGCACCUAGAAAUGGACAAGGCUGGUUAUUAGAACAAAGAUUUCGCAGGUGAACUGGUUUCAAAAUAAAAGCCAGACCACCACUUAGAGAGAGACACAGAAUGUUCACUGCCAGGGAACUGCAUGAUUCCUCUGCCAAAGGCCACCCAUUUACAAGAAUCCAGGAAAACCAGGUGGAAUCUCCCAAUGAUGACCCUGAGCAGAACUUCUUGUACCCAGGAAGUUCUACUGGGUGGAGCUGGCCACUCUUCCGUGGAGACACAGGGGACUCCCAAUUAACAUGAUGGCUCAAAUAACUGUAGCCUUAUGGAUUAAAAGGAAACUAAGCUGUGAUUUGGAGUAUCCAGGUGAUACAGAAAAUGGCCCUUGUCGAUGUAGAUCAGCAUUAUUUCCUUAUCCUUCUGCAUCUCCUCCUCAGUAUUCUGAAAGGGACAAGCCUGAGAUGGGGGAAAGCCAGCAUGCAAGGCCCUCCCCUUUGUGCUGUGUUCAUGGUGUGCACGGAGAGAGGCAGCAGCAGGAGGAACAGAAAGGUUAUUUUCUUUACUGACUCUUUCAAGGACAUCAGCAGAAUGGUUGGGAAUGUCAUCAUGAGCAGCCUCAGCCUCAGAAUUACCAGGAGAAGCUGGUCUUCCAGGAUCAGGUUCUAAUGUAUAUGAGUCACAGGAUUUAGGGAAGCAGGCACUUUCCCUUCAGUCCCAGCAGCAUGGUUGAUGUUCCCAAGUAAUGGAGAGUCCCUGUGCUCUC
rnacentral:lncRNA from 1 species